UAGAAGCCAAAACAAAAUUCCAAGUUCUUAUUUUCUCCAACCACUUUCUCUCUCUAUAAACUUUAUGCUAUCCCUUCUCUCUAAAGAGGUUGUUGUCUGUCUCAUCGUCAUCGAUGUAGGCCGCCAACAGCCGAAGUUCGUUUGAACCCAAAAAUUCAUUGCCGUUUCCUCCCAGCCUUCUUUUUCAUGGCUCUAGCUACUUUCGUUAAGCAAUCCCUAGAUAUUCGUAGAUCUUAGCCCAAAAUCUCGACUAUCAAAUUGCCAAAACCUUUCCCCCAUUGUUCUGAUGGCCUUCUAUGUUUCUCCUCCCCUUUGGAUCUUCCUCCCCUUCGAAUCUUCCUCCUCGCCAAAUUUGAAGAUUUAAAUCUAAAACACCUUAGACCAGAAAUCUAAGAGAGAAAGUCCUUUUCCCUUUUCUGUAUCCUUAUGUUUAGCUGUUUUUUUCUUUGCUUUUGUACAAACCUCGGGUUGGUGAGCUUGGAUUGUUGGUGGUAACAAUGGUAGUUGUUAAAACUAGGGGAUGGCUUUGGCCUCAACAGUGGAGGUUUGGCACUUAGCUUUGAUGAGGCUCUUACUCGAUGUAGUGAGCUAGGCAGUCUCGGCUAGUGAUGCUGGAAGACAGUGUUUGCCACGUGGGAGCUUGGUAUCGACGACGAGGUAGAGCUCUGUGAUUUUUUUUAGUCUGUGGUAUUUUCUACUUUUGUAAAAUUUUUGGACUGUGUAUAACCCUCACUAAGAAUGUUUGCUGAAAAUUGUCUCUGUGAUUGUUGAGCUUGAUUGGUAAUGGCACUAAAUUAAUCUCGAAAAAAUCUCUUGUUUUUUAGUUUGCUACAGAAUGGCCGAAAAUCUCCAUUUUUGCCUAUGUAUGCAUAAUGUUUGUCUAUGUGAAGGUAGAUGGUGGUUGUAGAGACUGGGUCGGGGAAUUCGCUAUGUUUGUAUGUUUCUCAGGUCUGUUGGGAAUGGCGGUGUCCAAUUUUGACUUGAUUGCUGGAAAUUGAGCUUGUUGAUUAAUGGUGGUGGUGAAGAUUUGUUUAGCAAUGCUUGUGUGUGGUGGUGAAAAGGUUCAGCGAGCUAGGUGUUGACUGCUAUUUGCUGAGUAUUGCUCGAGUUAGGAUGACAAUCUUACCCAUAACAAAUGGAGA
rnacentral:lncRNA from 1 species